ACUCCUACGGGAGGCAGCAGUGGGGAAUAUUGCACAAUGGGGGAAAGCCCUCGAUGCAGCCAUGCCGCGUGUGUGAAGAAGGCCUUCGGGUUGUAAAGCACUUUCAGUAGUGAGGAGUAGUGUAGUUAACACCUGCACUUAUUUGAUCGUUACCUACAGAAGAAGCACCGGCUAACUCCGUGCCAGCAGCCGCGGUAAUACGGAGGGUGCGAGCGUUAAUCGGAAUUACUGGGCGUAAAGCGCAUGCAGGCGGCCUGUUAAGUCAGAUGUGAAAGCCCGGGGCUUAACCUCGGAAUUGCAUUUGAAACUGGCAGGCUAGAGUCUUGUAGAGGGGGGUGA
rnacentral:rRNA from 1 species